AGACAUCCCAUCUCUACUUUUUCACUCUUUAAAAGGCAUUUUGCAAAGAUGUUCCAGUAGCAUCAGCGAGAUGGAUAACACAAUACAGCACUCCAGAGAUCCAGCAGCAUGGCCUUUCCACAGUGUUCAGAGAGCUGCA